rnacentral:lncRNA from 1 species
GUAAAUAAAACAUUACUAAAUAAAUUUAAAAAAACUAAACUUAAUGCUUAAGAAAAGAAUGAAAAUGCUAGAAAAAUAAAAGAGAAAAAAAAGAAAAAAUGGGAUUGUUUUUGGAAGAAAAUACAAAGACCAAAUUAAAUUAACCUAUUCAAAUUAAAAGCUAACUCAUGCUUGAAUUCUCCUUCUCUAUCUUCUUCAUUGGAUUUGUUUAUCUUCGCUAAAAUGUCACGUGUAGUCCUUCCUGAAGAAAUCAUCUCAGAAUUCCUAUAAAUC